rnacentral:rRNA from 1 species
GACGAACGCUGGCGGCGCGCCUAAUACAUGCAAGUCGAACGGGUCUCCUUCGGGAGGUCAGUGGCGGACGGGUGAGUAACACGUGGGUGACCUGCCCCGAAGUGGGGAAUAACGCUGCGAAAGCAGCGCUAAUACCGCAUAUGCUUAACGGUCCAAUCUGUUAAGCAAAGCAGCAAUGCGCUUUGGGAGGGGCCUGCGGCAGAUUAGCUAGUCGGUGGGGUAAUGGCCUACCGAGGCGACGAUCUGUAGCUGGUCUGAGAGGAUGACCAGCCACACUGGGACUGAGACACGGCCCAGACUCCUACGGGAGGCAGCAGUAAGGAAUAUUCCACAAUGGGGGAAACCCUGAUGGAGCGACGCCGCGUGCGCGAAGAA